AUUGAACGCUGGCGGCAGGCCUAACACAUGCAAGUCGAACGAGUGGCGGACGGGUGAGUAAUGUCUGGGAAACUGCCCGCUGGAGGGGGAUAACUCCUGGAAACGGUAGCUAAUACCGCAUACCAACGGAUGUGCCCAGAUGGGAUUAGCUAGUGGGUAGGGUAACGGCGCACCUAGGCGACGAUGCCUAGCUGGUCUGAGAGGAUGACCAGCCACACUGGGACUGAGACACGGUCCAGAAUCCUACGGGAGGCAGCAGUGGGGAAUAUUGCACAAUGGGCGCAAGCCUGAUGCAGCCAUGCCGCGUGUAUGAAGAAGGCCUUCGGGUUGUAAAGUACUUUCAGCGAGGAGGCGUUACUCGCAGAAGAAGCACCGGCUAACUCCGUGCCAGCAGCCGCGGUAAUAC
rnacentral:rRNA from 1 species